UUCUGGUUGGCUUGAGAGACCUUGUGCAGCCAGGACUGGGGGAGCUCGAUGGGAGGGGGGGUGGAGCUCUGCGGUGUCGCUGGCACAGUGGGAGAAGGGACGGAACGGGCAGGCUCACCGGAUGUUACCGUGGAGUCGGCCGGCUGCGACGCGUCUCCACCGUGGAAUCACACUGGGGUCCGGAAGGCGAACGGGCGGUCGGACUGUCAUCAUCCAGCGCCAUCUGCUCCGCAUCUGUGGCUGCACCAAGCUUUAAUAAGCAAGGAAAGGGAGAAGACAAGAGGAACACUGAGAGAUGGAAGGGUGUAUCUGAAGGGUCUGCGCUCACCACCGUCUGCUGGUUGACCUGGAUGACUUCAUCUCCAGCAUGGAUCUUUCCCGUUCGGUCUGCGGGAGACUGGAAAGCAGAAGAACAGAUAAAACAUGAUUACCAGGAGAACAGCAGUAUCCCAUCAGAAAUUUCGACUUAUGACCAUCUGAAACACAAUCACAUGAGUCUUCUGUUUUAUUCUUGGUCAUGUGACACUGAGUUAUACAUUUCUAUACAUUUUAUACUGUGGACUUAAUUCUUCUCUUGACCAAGGUGUCGCUCAGUCAGGGAACAAAACGUCUUUGUGCAGAACAUAUUUUUCUUGAGGAACCCACAGCAUUCUAGUACUAACCAUUUUGGUAAAUAAAAGUCCUUGUAGAGGCUGCUUGUUAUAACAUGUGUAAUACUAGUUCCUCUAUGUGUUAUAUAAGGAUAAUAAAAUGUUGGAAAAAGCGUGGAAGCUGAUACCAUAGUGGUUA